rnacentral:rRNA from 1 species
GACGAACGCUGGCGGCGUGCCUAAUACAUGCAAGUAGAACGCACAGUUUAUACCGUAGCUUGCUACACCAUAGACUGUGAGUUGCGAACGGGUGAGUAACGCGUAGGUAACCUGCCUGGUAGCGGGGGAUAACUAUUGGAAACGAUAGCUAAUACCGCAUCAUAUUAAUUAUUGCAUGAUAAUUAAUUGAAAGGUGCAAUUGCACCACUACCAGAUGGACCUGCGUUGUAUUAGCUAGUAGGUGAGGUAACGGCUCACCUAGGCGACGAUACAUAGCCGACCUGAGAGGGUGAUCGGCCACACUGGGACUGAGACACGGCCCAGACUCCUACGGGAGGCAGCAGUAGGGAAUCUUCGGCAAUGGACGAAAGUCUGACCGAGCAACGCCGCGUGAGUGAAGAAGGGUUUCGGAUCGUAAAGCUCUGUUGUAAGAGAAGAACGGGUGUGAGAGUGGAAAGUUCACACUGUGACGGUAUCUUACCAGAAAGGGACGGCUAACUACGUG